rnacentral:rRNA from 1 species
AAAUUGAAGAGUUUGAUCAUGGCUCAGAUUGAACGCUGGCGGCAGGCCUAACACAUGCAAGUCGAACGGUAACAGAAAGAAGCUUGCUUCUUUGCUGACGAGUGGCGGACGGGUGAGUAAUGUCUGGGAAACUGCCUGAUGGAGGGGGAUAACUACUGGAAACGGUAGCUAAUACCGCAUAACGUCGCAAGACCAAAGAGGGGGACCUUCGGGCCUCUUGCCAUCGGAUGUGCCCAGAUGGGAUUAGCUUGUUGGUGGGGUAACGGCUCACCAAGGCGACGAUCCCUAGCUGGUCUGAGAGGAUGACCAGCCACACUGGAACUGAGACACGGUCCAGACUCCUACGGGAGGCAGCAGUGGGGAAUAUUGCACAAUGGGCGCAAGCCUGAUGCAGCCAUGCCGCGUGUAUGAAGAAGGCCUUCGGGUUGUAAAGUACUUUCAGCGGGGAGGAAGGGAGUAAAGUUAAUACCUUUGCUCAUUGACGUUACCCGCAGAAGAAGCACCGGCUAACUCCGUGCCAGCAGCCGCGGUAAUACGGAGGGUGCAAGCGUUAAUCGGAAUUACUGGGCGUAAAGCGCACGCAGGCGGUUUGUUAAGUCAGAUGUGAAAUCCCCGGGCUCAACCUGGGAACUGCAUCUGAUACUGGCAAGCUUGAGUCUCGUAGAGGGGUAGAAUUCCAGGUGUAGCGGUGAAAUGCGUAGAGAUCUGGAGGAAUACCGGUGGCGAAGGCGGCCCCCUGGACGAAGACUGACGCUCAGGUGCGAAAGCGUGGGGAGCAAACAGGAUUAGAUACCCUGGUAGUCCACGCCGUAAACGAUGUCGACUUGGAGGUUGUGCCCUUGAGGCGUGGCUUCCGGAGCUAACGCGUUAAGUCGACCGCCUGGGGAGUACGGCCGCAAGGUUAAAACUCAAAUGAAUUGACGGGGGCCCGCACAAGCGGUGGAGCAUGUGGUUUAAUUCGAUGCAACGCGAAGAACCUUACCUGGUCUUGACAUCCACAGAACUUUCCAGAGAUGGAUUGGUGCCUUCGGGAACUGUGAGACAGGUGCUGCAUGGCUGUCGUCAGCUCGUGUUGUGAAAUGUUGGGUUAAGUCCCGCAACGAGCGCAACCCUUAUCCUUUGUUGCCAGCGGUCCGGCCGGGAACUCAAAGGAGACUGCCAGUGAUAAACUGGAGGAAGGUGGGGAUGACGUCAAGUCAUCAUGGCCCUUACGACCAGGGCUACACACGUGCUACAAUGGCGCAUACAAAGAGAAGCGACCUCGCGAGAGCAAGCGGACCUCAUAAAGUGCGUCGUAGUCCGGAUUGGAGUCUGCAACUCGACUCCAUGAAGUCGGAAUCGCUAGUAAUCGUGGAUCAGAAUGCCACGGUGAAUACGUUCCCGGGCCUUGUACACACCGCCCGUCACACCAUGGGAGUGGGUUGCAAAAGAAGUAGGUAGCUUAACCUUCGGGAGGGCGCUUACCACUUUGUGAUUCAUGACUGGGGUGAAGUCGUAACAAGGUAACCGUAGGGGAACCUGCGGUUGGAUCACCUCCUUA